AUGAAAACGAAUAUACGUAUGUGUAUGUGUGACUGGGACGUGAUGCUGUGCACCAGAAAUUGACACAUUGUAACUGACUGUACUUCAAUUUAAAAAAAAUUUACGAGACUUGCAGACCCAAAGUAUACGUACGUGUUGCCAAAUUGGAGGGCCGGCUCACAUGCUUUAACCCUCUUCCUUCCCAGAAUGCCACUAAAGUGUCAGUAAAGAUGCUUGACAGAAGAGAAAUCCAUUGACAACACUGAGAGUGAGCAGGUGGACCAGACUCUGGAGAGGAUCCCCGGAAGCCGAAGUCCAAGCAGAGACAGGAGAAGGCUGGCUCUCCGUCAUCCCAGAGCAGCCCCGACAGCACGGUGGAAGCCCGUGACGGAACAGAUAGGAAAACAGAAGCCCUGAAGAUCCGAGAGGACUGCAGAGAGCUGUCAGUGCACGCCUGCAAACAAGCCUGCGUGGCGGCGUUUACGAGCAGACGCUAAACUGAACCUGCUUUGAUGGGACGUCUCCCCCCUCGACACCAGACCUCUGCGCAGAACUGUCCGCCCGGCUGCCUUUGCUCCUUCACGACCUUCAAGGCCGACGCACUCAAAUCUGCUUUGUGUUCAUCCCCCCGCAAGGGCUCCAAAGGCCCCAAAGCCACAGGACCCCUCCCACCCGCCGCCAGCCGUCCUGCGGGUCCCCCUCCUCCCCCGCCCGCCUGGCCCGGCUCCUGGUGGGAUCCCCUCCUCUCCCGACCACUGCCUGCCCGGCCUGCCUCAAGACCCUCUUCCUUUCUAUUCCGAGGUGACCACAUCUGUUCCCCCCAAAUUUUUUUUUCACUUUUAAGAGUAAAAACUAUGUAUAAACAAA